UGAUUGAUGGAUUAGAAUCAUAGCGGCUGGAUAAAAAAGAUCAGUAAAAAUUAUAAGGGUCUGCUGCUAAUGAUGAAGCUGAGCUUAUGGUUCAAUAUGUUCCCCUAAAGCAGGAAAGAAAAGACUUCCAGUGCUGUGAAUCUCUCUCCACUAAGCUAUUCUGGCUACUUCAUAAAAACUUCCCUCGGUGGGUUCGGGACGUUCAACAUCACUGAAAUUUCGGAUCCAUGCU
rnacentral:lncRNA from 1 species